GCUAGGGUAGUGUAGUGGUUUGAACAUUGGACUGCUACUCUGGAGACCAGGGUUCAAAUCCCCACUCAAGCA